rnacentral:rRNA from 1 species
UAGUCCACGCCCUAAACGAUGCUUACUCGAUGUUUGUAUUUAUAUGAGCAUCCAAGGGAAACCGUUAAGUAAGCCACCUGGGGAGUACGAUCGCAAGAUUGAAACUCAAAGGAAUUGACGGGGGCCCGCACAAGCGGUGGAGCAUGUGGUUUAAUUCGAUGAUACGCGAGGAACCUUACCAGGGCUUAAAUGCAGAGCGACCGUUCUGGAAACAGAACUUUCUUCGGACGGUUUGCAAGGUGCUGCAUGGUUGUCGUCAGCUCGUGCCGUGAGGUGUCGGGUUAAGUCCCAUAACGAGCGCAACCCCUAUCAUUAGUUGCCAGCGGAUAAUGCCGGGGACUCUAAUGAAACUGCCAGUGUAAGCUGUGAGGAAGGUGGGGAUGACGUCAAAGUCAUCACGGCCCUUACGUCCUGGGCUACACACGUGCUACAAUGGUCGGUACAGAGGGCAGCUACCCAGUGAUGGGAUGGCAAAUCUCUAAAGCCGGCCUAGUUCGGAUUGAAGUCUGC